AUCUCCGCUCACUGCAACCUCCGCCUCCCAGGUUCAAGCAAUUCUCCUGCCAGCCUCAGCCUCCCAAGUAGCUGGUGCCAGAAAUAAUCAGUUCCUCUUCAAACUUCUUUCUUUUAGCAACUAACGUCCUUUCACAUUGCUAGAAAAGAUAAAUUCUUGUUUUCUAAACAAGCCUUUCCAUCUUUGCCAUGCCUAAACAUGCCCAAACAUGCCUUAAUGGACAAUCCCUCUCUCCCCUCCUUUCUUUAUAAGUUACACAUUUAAAGGUUUCAGUUUACCCUAUUUGGAAAAGUUUUACCACUGCUACCCCUUCUUCCCUAUCUACCCUAUUUAGAAAAAUUUCAAGUUUUAGCCAAUUGGGUUAGCUUAAAUUGUGUGGUCUGACUCCAGCCAAUGGGAAAGGGACACAAACAGAAGCUGCGUUAGGGAUGAAAACCCUUCUCUUCUCCUUUGUUCAGUGUACUCUUGCGAUUGUGACUGGUGCAGGCAGCACCCUUCUGCAGAAGUAGAUUUGCCUUGCUGAGAAGUCUUUUGUUUGAGUGCUUGUUUUCUUUGUGACUCCAGGCUCUUAUUUCCAACUGUUUGGGGGCUCGUCUGGUAUCCCAUUCUCCUCCGGGGAAGGGUCUCUGAUCACCUCUCAUGAGGAGAUGCGUCCCACUGCCUCAUUGCGAUGGCCUCAGGAGUAAGGAAUCAAGAACCACUGGUGUGAGGAACAAACCUGAACUCUCAACAAUGAAGGAAGAAAAGGCCUACAAAUACCGCAGCGACCAGGAUUCAAGGCUUCCUAGCGCAAACAUCACCCCUCAAAUUCCCAGUCCACCAACAUCAACCCGGAGAUCAUGUCCUUGUCAAAAUCUGGAAAGAGGGAAAGCUCGAGCCCACCAUUGAAGAAGCUUACCUGGUGCUCCUAACAACUGAGACAGCAGUCUGAACUGCUGAAGAGGGGUGGAUCCAUUGUACCCAAGUCAGAAAGUCGCUGCCCUCUCUGAAGCCAUGGACCGUCGUCCCAGGGCCAACUCCCACCAGAGUAACAUUAAAGAGAAAAGCCUAA